rnacentral:rRNA from 1 species
UGGGGAAUAUUGGACAAUGGGGGAAACCCGAUCCAGCGACGCCGCGCGAGUGAAGAAGUAUUUCGGUAUGUAAAGCUCUAUCAGCAGGGAAGAAAAUGACGGUACCUGACUAAGAAGCCCCGGCUAACUACGUGCCAGCAGCCGCGGUAAUACGUAGGGGGCAAGCGUUAUCCGGAUUUACUGGGUGUAAAGGGAGCGCAGACGGCGAAGCAAGUCUGAAGUGAAAUGCAUGGGCUCAACCCAUGAAUUGCUUUGGAAACUGUUUGGCUUGAGUGUCGGAGGGGUAAGCGGAAUUCCUAGUGUAGCGGUGAAAUGCGUAGAUAUUAGGAGGAACACCGGAGGCGAAGGCGGCUUACUGGACGACAACUGACGUUGAGGCUCGAAGGCGUGGGGAGCAAACAGGAUUAGAUACCCUGGUAGUCCACGCAGUAAACGAUGAAUACUUGGUGUCGGGGAGGUAAACUCUUCGGUGCCGCAAGCAAACGCAUUAAGUAUUCCACCUGGGGAGUACGUUCGCAAGAAUG